GAUGAACUCUCCUCCGUAUCUGGAAUCAUUCUCUUUGGAGAGACUCUAACAUAGAGGAGAGAUUUGAAGACAAGGUGGUCUGAAUUCACAGCCUGGGAGAGGAUGACAUGAGGACCAGCCCCACGUCCC